rnacentral:misc_RNA from 1 species
GAUGAAGAACGUAGCGAAAUGCGAUACUUGGUGUGAAUUGCAGAAUCCCGUGAACCAUCGAGUCUUUGAACGCAAGUUGCGCCCGAAGCCAUUAGGCCGAGGGCACGCCUGCCUGGGCGUCACACGUCGUUGCCCCCCCAUCUACUCCUUCGGGAUUGCGGGGGGCGGAUGAUGGCCUCUCGUGCGCCUCGUCGCGCGGUUGGCCUAAAUGCCAAGUCCUCGGCGACGCACGCCACGACAAUCGGUGGUUGCGAAACCUCGGUUGCCUGUCGUGUGCGGUCGUCGCGCAUCGAGGGCUCGAAAAAAUUGCCGGGCUUCGGCUCGACUUUCAACGCGACCCCAGGUCAGGCGGGGUUACCCGCUGAAUUUAAGCAUAUCAAUAAGCGGAA